rnacentral:rRNA from 1 species
CAGGUCUUGACAUCCCGCUAACGAGGUAGAGAUACGUUAGGUGCCCUUCGGGGAAAGCGGAGACAGGUGGUGCAUGGUUGUCGUCAGCUCGUGUCGUGAGAUGUUGGGUUAAGUCCCGCAGCGAGCGCAACCCUUACUGUUAGUUGCUACGCAAGAGCACUCUAGCAGGACCGCCGUUGACAAAACGGAGGAAGGUGGGGAUGAUGUCAAAUCAUCAUGCCCCUUAUGACCUGGGCCUCACACGUACUACAAUGGCCAUCAACAGAGGGAGGCAAAGCCGCGAGGCAGAGCAAAACCCUAAAAAUGGUCCCAGUUCGGAUCGCAGGCUGCAACCCGCCUGCGUGAAGUUGGAAUUGCUAGUAAUCGCGGAUCAGCAUGCCGCGGUGAAUACGUUCCC